GCCAUCAUUUAAAGAAAGCGUAAUAGCUCACUAGUCGAGUCGGCCUGCGCGGAAGAUGUAACGGGGCUAAGUUGUAAACCGAAGCUGCGGCAAUAUCUUUUAGAUAUUGGGUAGGGGAGCGUUCUGUAAGCCGUUGAAGGUGUGUUGUAAAGCAUGCUGGAGGUAUCAGAAGUGCGAAUGCUGACAUGAGUAACGACAAGGGGGGUGAAAAACCUCCCCGCCGGAAGACCAAGGGUUCCUGUCCAACGUUAAUCGGGGCAGGGUAAGUCGACCCCUAAGGCGAGGCCGAAAGGCGUAGUCGAUGGGAAACGGGUUAAUAUUCCCGUACUUCUUACAAUUGCGAUGGGGGGACGGAGAAGGCUAGGUGGGCCUGGCGACGGUUGUCCAGGUUCAAGUGCGUAGGCUGAGUGUUUAGGUAAAUCCGGAUACUCUUAAGGCUGAGACACGACGUCGAGCUACUACGGUAGUGAAGUCAUUGAUGCCAUGCUUCCAGGAAAAGCCUCUAAGCUUCAGAUUGUAAGGAAUCGUACCCCAAACCGACACAGGUGGUCGGGUAGAGAAUACCAAGGCGCUUGAGAGAACUCGGGUGAAGGAACUAGGCAAAAUGGUACCGUAACUUCGGGAGAAGGUACGCUCUUGAUGGUGAAGUCCCUUGCGGAUGGAGCUGACGAGAGUCGCAGAUACC
rnacentral:rRNA from 1 species